rnacentral:tRNA from 78 species
AUUUAUAAAGGUUUUAAUCCUUUUCUUUUUA